rnacentral:lncRNA from 1 species
UAAAAGGCCAUUUUGACGAAAUAGCUGUUAUAUGGGAAGGAUAAAUAUGCAGCUAUAACGUUAAAGAGACAACAGAGUCAACAUGAUUGUUUUGACAUCGGGGAUUCUCAUGACAAAAAGGAGGUGGGAGGGUGGAACUGAUGAGUGAUGGCACAUCAGGAGCCUGCGAGCAACAGAAACGAAAGCAAAAGUUGAGGGUGAAGUGGAGAUGGUGGAAAAACCUCUUACACCUCUGUGUGGCUGGAAACCCCUGAGACAACUCGUGAUGUCACGCGUGGCUGUGUCACCUGCUGCGUGUCAUAUUUCCAGGGGACGUCUGCAAUCUCCUUUCCAGUGGGCAAAAAAAAAAGCUGCCUGAAAAUUGUGGCUAUCUUCAGAAAUUGUCACUUCACCUCUCCCCCCGGCUCUGUGGGUUGCUGGUCUUCCAUGGGUGAGAAUGGGAAAGCGCUAAUGAGGUAUUAGUGCUGGAAAGUGUUAAUGACUUGGGUGGGAGGUUUACUCCCCAGAAUGUGGUCUUUUUGCUCAGAGCCACUGAGAUCAGCUGGGGCACCUGUGUGCAUCCAACAGCAAUGCGUAGGGAUCCUGGCUCCACAGUGGCCCUGUGGGACCCCAGUGCAGAAAAUAAAUGGAUUUACCUUAUUAAUAGAAGAGCCAGAAAAGAGAUGUGUAACUUUUUCUUCUCUUUCAGCGGCUGUACUUUCUGUAACAACAGGAGGUGAGAUGUGUGUAGGCAGAAGCUGACAGUGCUGUCUCAAUAACAUCUUCCUACCAUCUCCCAAGGCCAAAACGACUCAUACAUGGCCCAGACAAACACCUUCUUGGUGGACUUCCCCACCAUGAGUGAGAAAUGCAGGUGUUUGGGGGCCACUGUCACCAUGAAACAUGAGGACCUACACACACCUCUUGUGGCAGCUGCAGAAAAGGCUGUGCUCAUCCUCACCUUAUGAAUGCCCACUUCCGUACAGUGGAAUUAUGGGAGGAAUGACAUCAGCAUUAGAAGAGAUAGCGGAGUUGCCCUGGUAAUGGAUUUGCCCCAUAGAUCAUUACAUGUCACCAUGUCAUCAGAAAUCAUCUGUCAACAGCUAAGAUUUUAGCAGCUCAUAUCUUACCUGCACUGGAGGAAACCCAAGGAAGACAGGAGUUUGUUAUGUUAUGUGAAGGGGAGCUGUCAUUAAUGAACUCCUUUUAAUUGUCCUGGGUGACUGAGAAGAUAACACCCUCAUAGGGGAGUUGGAAAAGCAGGAUCUCAACGCUGUUUGCUGAAGAGGACAGAGCCAUUAUCCUCUCUUGAACUGGAAAGAAGGGCCAGGACUCUCAAAUUCACAGUAUAUCCAGGGAAACAAGAGCUUACAGAAUGACAAAAUAUUGCAAGAAAAAAAGGAAAAAAGAAAUGCAUCCAGACUUCACCCUAAAGAAGGAGAAAAUAGAAAUCUAGAUUUAAACAUACGGGAAGCUGCACGAAAAAAAAGAGUUUUUGUCUUCUCUCUCUGUUUCAAGAAAGCAAUGAAAGUGCUAGAAGAGUUUGAAUAUGCCAUGUCCACUUUGAAGACAACAAAGAACUUUUCAUCCAAGAGAAGGUUCGGAACAUCUAGCCAUGAGACAAGGAAUCUUCUGGCUGGAGCUUUUUGUAAUCCAUGGGAUUAUUUUUUAUAUAAAAGGCAAGAGGUACCACUAGGAGCUGGCAUGGAUGUGGACUGCACAUAAAAAGAUCAGCAUCUGAUCAGCAUCAUAAAAUGGUAGCUGAUGAUUGGCAACAAACAAAAAACGGAGCUUCCCUGGAGGUGUACCAGUUCCAUGAGCCUCCUGCCAGCUGAGCAGCACUGAUGCCAACAGUGGAGAAUAAGUAUUUCUCUGUGUCCUUACAGGCCAAGAGUAUGUGCAGUAAGGGACCACAGCACCUUUUGGGUCUGGAGCUGAUAUUGGGCCACCUCUCCGAACCAUUCUAGAAGAAGUCACCCUGGGUAAAAAAAUAAACACUUGGCCUACUUUCAUGAGAAUAUUCAUUCUUAUACAUUUUUAUCAUUUUCCCUCUCAUUCACCCUCCUAAAGAUAAGCAGUCCUGGUCUUUAACAAUUCUGUAUUUUGGUAUCCUACUUUGAUCCCUACAGUUCCACAGUUCCCUUUUGGUGUGUUGUAACAAAUGCUGCAUCCUCUGUUCCAGGAACAGCUACACAAUCAGUUUAUUAUGCACCGUGUGUCUGGCACUGUUCUUUAUGCUGCUCCACAUGCUUGCAAUUCCCAGUCAACCUUUUUCAAUCUUUUUUUUUUUUUCUUUCUUUCUUUUGUGUAGCUGAACAUGGAGCCAAAAUCUUCACCACGCAAUACUGAAAGAGCCAUAUCUUUAUUUCAUUGAAACUAAUGAUUUCGAAACCUUCAGGCGUUGUGACUACUUGACUUCUUU